UACAGAGGUCUCGAGCGUUGUUCGGAUUCAUUGGGCGUAAAGGGCGCGUAGGCGGCGGGGUAAGUCUGGUGUGAAAUCUCGGAGCUCAACUCCGAAAUUGCACUGGAUACUGCUCUGCUAGAGGGCGGGAGAGGAGAUCGGAAUUCACGGUGUAGCAGUGAAAUGCGUAGAUAUCGUGAGGAAGACCAGUGGCGAAGGCGGAUCUCUGGACAGCUCCUGACGCUGAGGCGCGAAGGCUAGGGGAGCAAACGGG
rnacentral:rRNA from 1 species